GGAUCAGUAUGUUGGUCAUGCCUUGGUAUGUACUGGUGUCACUGAUUCCUCCCUUCUGAAGAACUGUCAUGCCAUUCACUUGGUGUGGCGGGGAAUCAGGACUGUUACUUUGAAAAAAUUAGAGUGUUUAAAGCAGGCAUUCGCUUGAAUACAUUAGCAUGGAAUAAUAAAAUAGGACUU
rnacentral:rRNA from 1 species